rnacentral:rRNA from 1 species
UAAUACGUAGGGCGCAAGCGUUAUCCGGAAUUAUUGGGCGUAAAGAGCUCGUAGGCGGCUUGUCGCGUCGUUCGUGAAAACCCGGGGCUCAACCCCGGGCUUGCGGUCGAUACGGGCAGGCUAGAGUUCGGUAGGGGAGACUGGAAUUCCUGGUGUAGCGGUGAAAUGCGCAGAUAUCAGGAGGAACACCGGUGGCGAAGGCGGGUCUCUGGGCCGAUACUGACGCU